UCUCGUUAUAAAGCAAAUUCCCGAUAGGAUUCACUUUACUGUGAAGAUGCCUUGUAACCACUAAAUGUUUCAAUUGUAACUUGCAUAUGGGGGAAUUAACACACAU
rfam:Lactobacillus vaginalis ATCC 49540 contig00295, whole genome shotgun sequence.